rnacentral:lncRNA from 1 species
UGGAAUCCAUCUUGCUUGUUCGUAGGAUUUAGAUACCGAUAAUAUGAUGAACAGGAAAAUCUCAUUAUGACAUCUCAUACAAUGCCAAUCCAAACAUAAAUGUGUUACACCUAGUCCUCUUGGGAAAAAGGAUCAUAAUACAGCAUAUAUGCAUUGGAAUGAGCUGAUCACAUGAUUUUGUUUUGGUGAAAGAAAUUAGAAUGUACUAUAACUCAUGUUUUGUUUGUUUUCAAGAUGUAGUUUGGUUUUUAUUUUUUAAUUUUCAAUAGUCUCGGAGGAAUGUGCUUUUUAAUUUUCAAUAGUUUGUUUUGUUUGUUUUCAACUUAUGAUAUGCUUUAUAGUCUCGGAGGUUUGAGCUAAUUGUGGACUAAUCGUCUCGGAGGUUUGAGCUAGAAUCAUUAGUGUCUGGGCUGUGCAUAAUUUUAUCUCUCUCGCAGUCUCGCUUCAAUUUCUCUCUUGAUCAUUAUGGCAUCGUGGGGUAAUAGAAAGCAAUAUGAGGCUCAAAUACUUACAAAGGAAAAUUAUGUUUCACUACAAUAGUUUUGAUCUAUGGCAGCACUGCUUUUCUUCCGUUUAUGUUAUUGAGGUUCACUAAUCUAGAAACAUUAGUACAUAUUUAGCUUCAUCAAAGGGAGUUCUAUUUUCACCCUUAUUGUCUUG